UACGUAGGGUGCAAGCGUUAAUCGGAAUUACUGGGCGUAAAGCGUGCGCAGGCGGCUUUGCAAGACAGAUGUGAAAUCCCCGGGCUUAACCUGGGAACUGCAUUUGUGACUGCAUGGCUGGAGUACGGCAGAGGGGGAUGGAAUUCCGCGUGUAGCAGUGAAAUGCGUAGAUAUGCGGAGGAGCACCGAUGGCGAAGGCAAUCCCCUGGGCCUGCACUGACGCUCAUGCACGAAAGCGUGGGGAGCAAACAGG
rnacentral:rRNA from 1 species